CGCUGGCGGCGUGCUAAUACAUGCAAGUCGAACGCACUCUCGUUUUAGAUUGAAAGGAGCUUGCUCCUGAUUGAUAACAUUUGAGUGAGUGGCGGACGGGUGAGUAACACGUGGGUAACCUGCCUAAAGUGGGGAUAACAUUUGGAAACAGAUGCUAAUACCGCAUAAAACCUAACACCGCAUGGUGUAGGGUUGAAAGAUGGUUUCGGCUAUCACUUUAGGAUGGACCCGCGGUGCAUUAGUUAGUUGGUGAGGUAAAGGCUCACCAAGACCGUGAUGCAUAGCCGACCUGAGAGGUAAUCGGCCACACUGGGACUGAGACACGGCCCAGACUCCUACGGGAGGCAGCAGUAGGGAAUCUUCCACAAUGGACGAAAGUCUGAUGGAGCAACGCCGCGUGAGUGAAGAAGGUUUUCGGAUCGUAAAACUCUGUUGUUGGAGAAGAACGUAUCUGAUAGUAACUGAUCAGGUAGUGACGGUAUCCAACCAGAAAGCCACGGCUAACUACGUG
rnacentral:rRNA from 1 species